rnacentral:lncRNA from 1 species
CUUUCAACUUUCUAUAUCAGGUUAAAUAUAAUUAACUAAUUCAGUUAAUUAAUAAUCUUUAUUACCGAUCAAAUAUUUUUUUUUCCUAUAAACUGAUAUUGCCAUUGUCAUUCAUUUUUUCUAUUUUUAUUACUUUCCUAUUUCACCCGCGUAGGUAUCUAACAAUCACUGAAAAUCUUGAUCUAACUUUUCUAUAUUAGUAUUCUAAUUUUAAUAUCCAAUUUAUUCUAACCCUUUUCAAAUUCCAAGCAUUUUGUAACCUAAAUUAAUUACUGUUUCGUAUUCAUUACAUCUAUUAACUAUAUAUUAAUCUCCAAUACUAUAGCUGAUGUGGCAAAACCUCAAUUUUUUAAAUUUUUUUGUUUUUUACUAGUGAAUUUGUCCCCUCAUCUACCCCCUAUAACUUAACCUCCUACAAUUUAAUUUUUUCUUUAGGUUAGUGGGAUAUUAUUACGAACGUUUCAUUUAAGCAGUUUUUAUUGUUAUAAUUUAGUAAGUGGCCUUUCAACUUUCUAUAUCAGGUUAAAUAUAAUUAACUAAUUCAGUUAAUUAAUAAUCUUUAUUACCGAUCAAAUAUUUUUUUUUCCUAUAAACUGAUAUUGCCAUUGUCAUUCAUUUUUUCUAUUUUUAUUACUUUCCUAUUUCACCCGCGUAGGUAUCUAACAAUCACUGAAAAUCUUGAUCUAACUUUUCUAUAUUAGUAUUCUAAUUUUAAUAUCCAAUUUAUUCUAACCCUUUUCAAAUUCCAAGCAUUUUGUAACCUAAAUUAAUUACUGUUUCGUAUUCAUUACAUCUAUUAACUAUAUAUUAAUCUCCAAUACUAUAGCUGAUGUGGCAAAACCUCAAUUUUUUAAAU